rnacentral:rRNA from 1 species
GGGGAAUAUUGGACAAUGGGCGCAAGCCUGAUCCAGCCAUGCCGCGUGGGUGAAGAAGGCCUUCGGGUUGUAAAGCCCUUUUGUUGGGAAAGAAAAGCAGCCGGCCAAUACCCGGUUGUUCUGACGGUACCCAAAGAAUAAGCACCGGCUAACUUCGUGCCAGCAGCCGCGGUAAUACGAAGGGUGCAAGCGUUACUCGGAAUUACUGGGCGUAAAGCGUGCGUAGGUGGUGGUUUAAGUCCGUUGUGAAAGCCCUGGGCUCAACCUGGGAACUGCAGUGGAUACUGGAUCACUAGAGUUUGGCAGAGUGUAGUGGAAUUCCCGGUGUAGCAGUGAAAUGCGUAGAGAUCGGGUUUUUUUUUUAAUGAUACGGCGACCACCGAGAUCUACACUGACACUGAGGCACGAAAGCGUGGGGAGCAAACA